UUAAUACUCCCUCCGUACGGAAAUACUUGUCCUAAAGAUGAAUGUAUCUAGACUUAUUUUAGUUAUAGAUACAUCCAUUAUAUCCAUUUCUAGGACAAGUAUUUCCGGACGGAGGGAGUACUAU
rnacentral:pre_miRNA from 1 species